AAAACCUCAAGCUAAGAGAUGAUCAUUUGUAAUGCUUUUACUAUCAAAAAUCAAAAAUGUUACCUCCUCCUGCAGAAAAGGUGCCUCCCGCCGUCACCGCUCCUCUGGGCAACAGCGGACACCUGCCCGCGCCAGGCCUCAGCGUCGCAGCCUCCACGUCUCGGAAAACGAAAAGAGCCUCCUUUGCGCAGCCCACAGACACCACUCUCGGACAGCCAGCCUCACCUGCAGGUAGCAGCUGUGGGGGUGAUGGGGUCUUAGGACGAGUGGGAGUUUAAAUAUUUUCACUUAAGACAAAAGUGCUUGAAGAUCCCAAGCUUCAAAUAGAUUGUAAUAGAAAGUCCCAAAGUCGCUUUAUUGACAGGUAUUUCGGCCUCCACAGCUCAGAGCAGAUGGCAGCUGAAACAGUCACCUCGGAAACAUCCCUCUCAGCAUCCUAAAGCAGCUGUGCAGAUCCUGGGCCAACGGGGUACCUGACAGGUUUUCGGGGGGAGAAUGAGUCUGUUGUCUCUCCAGUCACUGCUCUGACCUCUCAGUGGGAAAGGGGUGGGAGGAAAGCAUGAAGACAAACGUAUCGUGAAUCUGUUCCCCGCCUUUAAGAGAAUAUACGAAAUGGUGAAUCUCUUGUACAUGGGAGAGGUUACCGUUAAGACACUCAUUGAAUUUCCAUUCUAUACACACACACAAAACACUAUUCCAGGCUAUCAUUUGCCACUACUGGCAUAUUGCCUCGAAAUCAGUUAGCAGUCUUUGUGAUUUAGGACAAAUAUCUACUGGCUUAUACAGUGUCUUGACUAAUUGUCCAUUUUCCUCAAUAUCAAAUCGACUGGAUUUUAAUAUUUUAAGCUCAAAGAAUUCACAAACCGUCAUGUGGACGUGAUGAGUAGAUUUGUAAUGUUUCAAACUCCCUGUAGAAUCUAGAAAUGCAAACUUUUAAGGUGAAAGGGAUUGAGGGAGAAAGCCAUUUAGAGAGAGUGAAGACUCAUGGUUUUCGGUCCUCAAAAGAAGCCACUGGACUUCUGCUUCUGGUCACAAUGGAGUAACAAUGAGGGGACAAAAGCUCCCACCCUAAACAGCUCCGUCAUGGCCACAGGCAGUGCAGGGGGACUGGAGCGCAGCCCUGUGUCACCCCAGCUGUCUUCCUGGAGCCAGAGAGCUGUGGGUGCCGGAGGGAACCUCGAAAGGGCCCGAUGGCCCCGAGUUCUGGGGAGAGAACUCAGUUCAGGGGGAUCAGGCGGUGGUGGUGGCAAGGAGGAGUCCCAGAGAAGCAGCAGCUUCAGGAAAAGGGAACCCGCAGGGACACACAGUGGGCCACAGAGUCCUUCCUGAGCGUAGACCGUGCCUGCCAUGAGGGAGACUCCACAGACACGCGGACCCGGGCAGGACUGUGAGGUUGUCAGUUGAAGAGCCAGACUCGACCAGGACUGAGAGCCAUUUGAGACUGACCAGCAAGCGUGGAGACAUGGUGACUGUUCUGGGCACCCAGGGUAGGCCCGGGUCACCCUCCCUUAGUAGGGCUGAUUAUCCCAGAGGUGAAGGCAGCUCUAGACGUCCCCUAUCAAGGACGAGAAAACAAGCUGUAAAAAGUCCAAAUGGUUUGCAAGAUUUACCUGCUGCCGAGACAAACGUCAACACUCUUCAAAGAAAGACAACAACACACUGACACUGAGCAGCAUCAUCUGAUUUCUAAGGGGCACAGAGUUGUUCAUAGUGUCUCCUUACUCUCCUUCUAUUGUCUGUGGAUCAGCGUCAACGGCGUGCUUUCAUUUCUGGGCCUGGUCAUGGUGUCUUCUCUCCGUUUCUCUCAGUCAGUCUGGCGACAUGUCCACUAGCUGUGCAGAUUGUUCAUGGAACCAGCCUUUGGCUUCAUUGAUAUUGUCUACUUUUCUGUCUUCAACUCCGUCGGUUUCUACUCGAGUCAUUAUUUCCCUCCUCCUGCUUGCAUUUGCUUUAAUCAAAAGCUCUUCUUUCCCUGGUUUUCCUGGGGGAGAAGUUUACGUAUCGAUCAGAGUCUUUCUCUGCUGACACGUGCGUCAGUGCUGUGAAGGUCCCAGCAGCGCUCCCUAGGUGUGUCCCACAGAUUCUGAUACGAUGCAUUUUCAUUUUCCCUUAGUUCAGAAUAUUUUUACAUUUCCCAUUGAGACUCCCUCUUGGAUGCACGGGUUGUUUAGAGGUCGGUUGUUCGAUUUCCAGCUAGGUCGGGUAUCUUCACGUUAUUGAUUUCAAGUCUAAUUCCGCUAUGGUCUGAGGACAUGCUGUUGGGAGAGGAUGACUUCAGACUCCUCCUCGGGCACGUGAGGGUGGGCCAUGGGCCUGGAGCACUUCCUCCCUGAGAGAUGAGGGGCCACACAGCCUGUGCUGGACUUGUCACCUUGUCUUUCCCUGUUUCAGACGCAGCCAAUGCUCCUUGUUCUAUUAAAGCAGGUGUGUCAUAUGGCACCUGGCCACCCCCACUGCUGUAUGUGUCCCCUGUGGGACAGGUGGAGGAAAAUAUGGAGCCUCUUAUGGGACAAGAAGGGUACACGCAGGCUCCUUACAGACAGCAUAUAGUUGUGUAUCGCUGCUUCUUCCAUUCUGACAAUCUGUCUUUAACUGAUGUGUUUAGAACUGUUAUCUUGCUAGCCGUUUUAUAUUUGCCACAUUUGUUCUUUUUUUAUUUUCCUUCUUUUUCUGCCUUCUUCAGGUUAAUUCAGCAUUUUUUAUUAUUCCAUUUUAUCUCUUCUAUUGUCUUACUAUUAAAUCUUUUUUAAAAAACCUUUUUGGGUAGUUGCCCUAGAGCUCACGAUAUACGUUAAAAUAAUCUGAGUCCACCAACAAAUAUGAUACUGCUUCAUAUGUAAGAUGUUAAGAAACAAAAUUCAACUGAGUAAAUUUGAAGAUUUAAUUGGUUCUGUUAACUGAUUCUUGAAUUGGGCAGCAUCUCAUCUGGCAAGCCGAGAGAUGUUCUGAGGGGUUACACCACCUGAAAGGUUUUUAUAGUACGGAGGGUGAGACAAGGAAAGGAAGUCAUCAGCAAGGAAGAGAUGAAAGUUCAUUGAGGGAAAGUAAAUGCUCAGGUGAUGAUGGCUUCUCAUUGGCUGAGCUUGUUGCUGAGCAAGAAGGAAGUCAUCCUUCCUCCUGCUGGAGCAGCAAAGUAGUUGCACUUCCUGUUGGGGAGUGCAAGGUAGGUCUCUUCCUAUUGGGGACCUCUUCCUGUUAGGGUCAGUAAGUGACCUCUUCCUUUUGGAGUCAGUAACUCAUAUCUUCCUGUUGGGGUCAAAAACUGACAUCCUCCUGUUGGGGUCAAUAACUGACCUCCUCCUGUUGGGGUCAGUAACUGACAUCCUCCUGUUGGGGUCAGUAACUGACAUCCUGCUGUUGGGAUAAUUGAUGAUAGGUAGUAGGGCAUGAGGGCUCCCUCUACAGGCCUUCAUGACUCCAACUUUAGUUGAGGUUUCCUUUAUUAAUCUUAGUGGUUGCCCUAGGAUUUAAAAUAUACUUUGAAAUAAUCUGCGUUCACCAACAAAUAAUCCUCUACUGCUUCCUGUAUAAGUUGCAGGUCCUUCUAGUUGUGGGAUGUGGGAUGCUGCCUCAACGUGGCCUGAUGAGCGGUGCCAUGCCCACGCCCAGGAUCCAAACGCUGGGCCGUCGCAGUGGAGUAUGCGAACUUAACCACUUGGCCAUGGAGCCGGCCCCGGUUGCCUUUUCACUCUGGUGAUGGUUUCCUUUGUGUGCAGAAGCUUUGUAGUUUGAUGUAGACCAAGUUGUCUGUUUUUGCUUUUGUUGCCUUGGCUUUUGGUGUCAAGUGCAAAAAUCAUUGCCAAAACUGAUGUCGUAAAGGCGAGGAUGCCCACUCUCUCCACUUCUCUUCAGUGCUGGAAUCCUCAGCCAGAGCAAUCAGGCAAGAAACAGAAAUAAAAGGCAUCCAAAUUGGAAAGGAAGAAGGAAGGUUAUCUGUGUUUGCAGAUGACGUGGUCUUUUAAGUAGAAAACCCUAAAGACUCCACAAAAAAACUGUUAGAUCUAAUAAACAAAUUCAGUAAAAGAGCAGGAUACAAAAUCAAUGUAUAAAAAUCUGUUGCCUUUCUGCACAUCCACAGUGAACUAUCCAAAAAGGAGCUUAAGAAAAUAAUGCCAUUUACAAUAGCAUCAAAAAGAAUAAAAUACUUAGGAAUGAAAUUAACCAAGGGAAUGAAAGCCUUGUAUGCUGAAAAUGAUAAGACAUUGCUCAAAGAAAUUGAUAAAGACACAAAUACAUGGAAAGACAUCCUGCGCUCAUGGAUUGUAAGAGUGACUAUUGUUAAAAUGUCCAUGAUACCCAAAGCAGUCUACAGAUUCAAUGCCAUCCCUACCAAAAUCAGAAUGGUAGGGGCUGGCUGGGUGGCACAGCAGUUAAGUUCGCAUGUUCCACUUCGACGACCCAGGGUUCGCCCAUUCCAAUCCCUGGUGCGGCACCACUUGGCAAGCCAUGCUGUGGUGGGCGUCCCACAAAUAAAGUAGAGGGAGAUGGGCAGUGAUGUUAGCUCAGGGCCAGUCUUCCCUGGCAAAAAGACGAGGAUUGGCAGCAGAUUUAGCUCAGGGCUAAUAUUCCUCAAAAAAAAAAAAAUCACAGUGGAAGUUUACAGAAGUAGAUAAAACAAUCCUUAAAUUCACGUGGAGUCACCAAGGACCCGGAACAGCCAAAGCAAUCUUGAAGGAAGAACACAGCUGGAGGCAUCAGCUGCCUGGUUCAAACUAUCCUAAAGCUACAGUAAUGAAAACAGUGUGGCGCUGGCAUAGAGACAGACACACAGGCCAACGGAACAGAAUCGAGAGCCCAGAAGGACACCAUACGUAUGCGGUCAACUGAUCUUCAACAUGGGAGCCGAGAUUAGUCAACAGGGAAAGGCCGGUCUCUUAACAAUGGUGCUGGAAAACUGGACAUGUGCAUGCAGGAGAAUGAAAACGGACUCUUCUCUCACACCAUCCACCCCACAAACCAGCACAGACUCACCAAGGACUUAAACGUGACACAGGAACCUGUGAGAUCCCUGGAAGAAGACUCAGGGAUGGCCUCACCUUUCUUAUCCAUGCCCGAGUUCCUCCUCUCUUCCAUCUUCUUUCACAUGGAGUAGCAUUGUCUCAUGUUUCCCAGCGUCCUGGUCUGAAAGUGGGAUGUCCACUCGCAUUAGUGUGUGGUCGCCCUGAAGUGCACCUGCAUCCUCGAUAUGAUGCUGAGGUUGGACGUCAGGAUUGUAACACAGCUGCUUACACGUGGCUUUUGCCCUAUUUUGGACAAUCUCCUCAGCGGCGUCCUGGACAUCAGAUUGCUGGGUCAAAGUUGACGUUUUAUGGUUUUUGAGAUGUUUCUGUUGAGCAUUUUUCAAAUGACACCUUGCACCUCCCACGAGCGUGGCUGUAACACAGGCCCCUCCUCUUCUCUGCUCAGUGCCACCCCUUGGGAGGUCCCAGCCCUUCUCUUUGAGGUCAUUUGUCCCCUCAGGCUGUCCUGCUGUGUAGAACUGGGGGAUGCCUCCUGUGGAACUUGAGGACCAGAGGUCAGCCCAGGAAGGCAGCUUCUCAGCAGAACCUAGGCCGUGGCUGGAGCCUGGAGGCUACAGGGCCGGGGCGCCUCCUGCCUGAGGCUGGGGAAGCCCCCUGCCCUACAGCCUCCACCUUCAUUUCUGGACUGAAGGUCAGAUGCCCCACCCUGGGGCCCAGGAGGAGCCCCUCCAACAGCCGACGAGGGUCCCAGGGAGAGGCCGGUCCAGUGACUGUUCCCUAUUGUCAGGCAGAAGCAAAGUCACAAGAUGACACGUCAUGAGCCAUGAGGUGGGGGUCGGUGGAUGGGCCAGCUCCAUCUGCCCAUUAGCUUGAAAGUGUGGAUGGUGGGUCACAGGUGCUGUCUCUGCGCCCCUCUGCCCAGCCUCAUCGCAGCUCAGUGGCAGCCUGCGGCUUUGUGCCGUCUGCAGGUUGCACAACACUGUGCAGCCUUCUCACCGUGAGUCCAGGUGGGCAGGGGAGAGUGGUAGGGAGAGGUGAGCGCAGAUCUCAUGUCGGAGCCACUGUCCCGGAGCCUUGGUGGCUGGCUUGACUCAGGGAGUACAUGGGGGUUGUCCUGGACACUACCUCGCCCUCCCCUGAUGGGAUGGGCUCCCCAGCGUCUCCAGCACUAGAGGGGCUCGCAGAACCUUGGGGUCCGAGCUGGAGGCCUAGGUGGGUGAGGCGCCUUGGGCAGGCAGCCUGUGCCUGAGACCUCAGGGUCUUCAUCAUCAGGGUCUUCAUCACCCAAGUGCUGGCACCAGAAUGCUUGAGAGUCAGACGUUUCUAACUUGGUUUUAUUCAGGGGCUUCUGCUGUGUAUCCAGGAGCCGUCCAGGGCGUGAACUAGAAGAGACGCCACCACCCAUGGUAACUUCAGGAAACAGUGGACGUCAGCACAAUAAAUGGGCACUGCAUGGUGUCAAGUGCUCAAGAGAAAACUGAAGCAGGGGACGUGGGGGGGUUUCAGUUUUAGGGGGUGGCCAGGAGGGCCUGGCCGAGACCACAGGUGGGCGGGGAUCACCCUCCUCCCAUGGGAGGGACAGAGUGGGGCUUCCCCACCAUUGGAGGGUCUCGUCGGGAUGGGGAAGCUGAUGUCCCUCCUGAGCAGGAGAGAGACAUGAUGGACACCUGGCUGGGGGGGUCUCUGGGCCAUGGUGGCCACUGUGCCAGGGCCAGGCUGAAGGUUAAAGGGCGAGAGCAGGACGCAGGAGGGUGGCAGCCAAGGGGUAUCCAGUGCUGGGGUGAUGCUAAGCCCGAGCAGGGCCACCCCUCAACCCUGAGGGGCCAUGUGCCUGGGCUCAGACUGGUAAGGACCUGGGGCUAUUGAUGUCCAGUCAGUCCCUGUGGAUCAGGGCCACGUAGAGGAAAGGCCAUGGGCUUGCAGGACUGACCGCAACCACGAGGUCAUCCUGCUGCUCCUCUGUUCCAUUUCCAGUGGCUGCACGACUGCAGAGGGAGAUGGCAGAUCUGGAGGGCCCCACCUGACACCCUGAGGGGCAGAGGCUCAAGACCAAGUGGAAUCGCUUGAGUCCAGCACCGUCGGCAUCCAGUACCAGGAGGGAGUGAGAGGACAGCUGUCCCUUCGCUGGACAGGAGGCCCCCGAGAAGAUGUGCUUCUCCUUAUGUCAAAGUACAGAUGAGCCCAGGAAAACAUGAUUCGGGGAUUUGGGGACCUAGAUGAGCUGAUUUUAAGUUCACAUGGAGAAAUCACUGAACAAGAAAGUCCAGGAAAACUUGAGGAGCUGUCACCAGAGGGACGAGCCUGACAGCAAUGAAAACACAGAGAUGACUCAGUGUGAUGCUGCCGUGACCCAGAACAGCCUUUCCAAGGGAACACGCGUCCCGGGAGCCACUUACAACAAGUGACACAUGCACCCCACAGAGUCACGUGUCUCUGUGGGAAAUGUGUAAUCGGAGUCAGAGAAGAGCACGGAACAGGGAAAUGUCUGCCCUUCCGAUUUCCUGAGUGGAGGGUGCUUCCGCAAACCCGCUCUUUAAAAGACCAAACAGCAAAGGGACAUGAGGUGGAAGCUGACACCUGAGGGAGGACAGCGGCUCCUGAUGACGAGGCAUCCUAUCACCUCGCUGCUGAGAGACAUGCGGAUGAAGCUGGGAAGCCCUUCAGGCUGCACCUGUCACCCCAUGGCCUGGUGGAAUGGCAGCACCCCGAAAUUCCGCCCACUGCCCGGCACCCUGACUGCUCUUGUCCAUAGCAGUUGGAGGCACUUGUCUCCUUUGUGAGCGGCUCUGCCGUCUCACACUGCCCACCUCGAUGUGAGUGCAGGAGGCACAACUCACACCGCAACUGGUCAGUCAGUUGGAGGCACUCGUGCCCUCUGUGAGCGGCUCUGCCGUCUCGCACUGCCCACCUCGACGCGAGUGUCGAGUUCGUGGAGGAGGCGCAGCUCGCGCCCGCGACUGGUCAGUCAGGUGAGCGUGACUUUGGGGACAGUGGCCGCCAGGGGUGGUGCCACGGGCCUCCCUUGGCUGUAGGCGAGGUGACACCGAGCCCCGAGCCCCGAUGGAGAGCCGGGCUCAGACAGCCGUCCCCGGUCCAUGGGGUGAGGGUGCUGCUCGCAUUGCCCCUGCCCGUGGGAGGAGGCUGGGG
ensembl:lncRNA